GACGAACGCUGGCGGCGUGCUUAACACAUGCAAGUCGAACGAUGAAGAAAAGAAUCGAAGCUUCGGCAGAAAUUCAUUUCGGAUUAGUGGCAGACGGGUGAGUAACGCGUGAGCAACCUACCCCUUACAAAGGGAUAGCCUCGGGAAACCGGGAUUAAUACCAUCUUACAUUGCGACGGAGCAUUUCGAUGCAAUCAAAGGUACGGCGGGAUGAGCUGGGGGCUCGUCCCGUUAACCGGAGGGUGAGGUAACGGCACACCAUAGUGACGAUGGGUAACCGGGAGGAGAAGCGGAACCGUUACACCGGAGCUGCGACACGGUCCAGAAUCCUACGGGAGGCAGCAGUGGGGAAUAUUGCACGAGGGAGGGAAAUCUGAUGCCGCGACGCGGGGUGAGUGAUGAAGGAAGUUGUUUCGUAAAUCUCUGUUCUAUGGGAAGAAAGGGACGGUACCAGAGGAGAAAGCGCCGGCUAAAUACGUG
rnacentral:rRNA from 1 species